rnacentral:rRNA from 1 species
UACGAAGGGUGCGAGCGUUGUCCGGAAUUAUGCGUGGGCGUAAAGAGCUCGUAGGUGGUUUGUCGACGUUGUUCGGUGAAAUCUCACGGCUUAACUGUGAGCGUGCGGGCGAUACGGGCAGACUGGAGUACUGCAGGGGAGACUGGAAUUCCUGGUGUAGCGGUGGAAUGCGCAGAUAUCAGGAGGAACACCGGUGGCGAAGGCGGGUCUCUGGGCAGUAACUGACGCUGAGGAGCGAAAGCGUGGGGAGCGAACAGG